UACAGAGGGUGCAAGCGUUAAUCGGAAUUACUGGGCGUAAAGCGCACGUAGGCGGCUUGGUAAGUUGGGUGUGAAAUCCCCGGGCUCAACCUGGGAAUUGCAUUCAAGACUGCCUUGCUAGAGUUUGGUAGAGGGAAGCGGAAUUCCAGGUGUAGCGGUGAUAUGCGUAGAUAUCUGGAGGAACUUCAGUGGCGAAGGCGGCUUCCUGGCCCAACACUGACGCUGAGGUGCGAAAGCGUGGGGAGCAAUCAGG
rnacentral:rRNA from 1 species